rnacentral:rRNA from 1 species
AUCCUGGCUCAGGAUGAACGCUAGCUACAGGCUUAACACAUGCAAGUCGAGGGGCAGCAUGGACCCAGCUUUGCUGGGUUUGAUGGCGACCGGCGCACGGGUGAGUAACGCGUAUCCAACCUGCCCUUUACUCCGGGAUAGUCUCCUGAAAGGGAGUUUAAUACCGGAUGUGUUUGUCUUUCCGCAUGGGAGCGACAAAUAAAGAUUAAUUGGUAAAGGAUGGGGAUGCGUCCUAUUAGCUUGUUGGCGGGUAACGG